rnacentral:rRNA from 1 species
CCUACGGGGGGCAGCAGUAAGGAAUAUUGGUCAAUGGGCGGAAGCCUGAACCAGCCAUGCCGCGUGCAGGAAGACGGCCUACGGGUUGUAAACUGCUUUUAUACGGGAAUAUGUACUGUAAGAAUAAGGAUCGGCUAACUCCGUGCCAGCAGCCGCGGGAAUACGGAGGAUCCAAGCGUUAUCCGGAUUUAUUGGGUUUAAAGGGUGCGUAGGUGGCCUGGUAAGUCAGGGGUGAAAGACGGUAGCUUAACUAUCGCAGUGCCUUUGAUACUGCCGGGCUUGAAUAAACUAGAGGUAGGCGGAAUGUGACAAGUAGCGGUGAAAUGCAUAGAUAUGUCACAGAACACCGAUUGCGAAGGCAGCUUACUAUGGUUUAUUGACACUGAGGCACGAAAGCGUGGGGAUCAAACAGGAUUAGAUACCCUGGUAGUC